rnacentral:rRNA from 1 species
AUUGAACGCUGGCGGCAGGCCUAACACAUGCAAGUCGAGCGGAUGAAGGGAGCUUGCUCCUGGAUUCAGCGGCGGACGGGUGAGUAAUGCCUAGGAAUCUGCCUGGUAGUGGGGGAUAACGUCCGGAAACGGGCGCUAAUACCGCAUACGUCCUGAGGGAGAAAGUGGGGGAUCUUCGGCCCUCACGCUUUCAGGUGAGCCUAGGUCGGAUGAGCUAGUUGGUGGGGUAAUGGCCUACCGAGGCGACGAUGCGUAACUGGUCUGAGAGGAUGAUCAGUCACACUGGAACUGAGACACGGCCCAGACUCCUACGGGAGGAAGCAGUGGGGAAUAUUGGACGAUGGGGCAAAGCCUGAUACAGCCAUGCCGCGGGUGUGAAGAAGGUCUUCGGAUGGGAAAGCACUGUAAGUUGGGAGGAAGGGAAGUAAGUUAAUACCUGGCUGUAUUGACGUUACCAACAGAAUAAGCACCGGCUAACUUCGUG